CAUGGAUACUAGUCAGAUUCCUUACCACUGAGCCACAAUGGGAACUCCCCUAGAUGGAUCAUUUUUCUAAUCCAUCAAGCUUCUCCUGAAUUAUAUUCAAGCUUCCUUAGACUGAGUGUUUUCCAUCUAAUACUCCAGGAUAAGCCAGGAUCUAAUUCUGGUCCUGCUUUUAUACAUUUUUAACUUCACUCAUCCAUUUACUCAACUGCUACUUUUCCCCCUUUGCACCACCCACUCCUCUAGCUCGCGGUGCCCAAGGCAGUCCCUGGCCUUUUUGGAGAUCACAGCCUUAGCGAGGACUACUGAAAUGAAACCAAAGGGGGUGUCCUUGUGGAAACAUAUGGCUGGGGCUGAAAGAAUGGGAGGAGCAACUGUAUUUCAGGAAUGUCGGGUGUGCUGUGGUUAAAACAAACAAAACAACAGAAAACAAUCAAAACACCUCCAAAAUGCAAUAAUGUUAUGCAAUGAAGAUUUUCUUGCACACACAUUCCAUUGCAGACUGUGUGACUCUCCAAGGCAGCCAUCCUUUCUACAGAAAUCAUGACUGCUUGUUUCUCCUGGUGUCUUACCAACAUGUGCCAGCUUCCAGGUGAGGCAGAAAAAGCGGACCUGGUGGGGGUGGUGUCUCACACCUGCAUUUAAGCGCCUUUGAGUGGAAGAACCCCCACCCUGCUCUCUCCUGCUCACGUGCCAUUGGCUGGGACAGAUCACGUGGCCGCAGCUAAGCGCAGGGGAGGCUGGGAGAGACGCCUUGCCCAGAGCAGGUGCAGGUGGAGGAGAUGGACAGACGGGCACAUGGCAUCGUCUCUUCUGCGGUGACUCACGUGGCUGGAGCCCAGAAAGAGAAGCUCGGCACCGGCUGCUGCAUGCCUGCCAGGAACCCAUGAGAAACCAAUAUGAACAGGACAUCUUAGAAGCCAUUGAUCACAUCUAUGUUGACUAUUUUUUGGUGGAGGGAGGUAUGCCCAUGUGCUUGAGCUUCUGUUUCUGCUUUGUGUUUCUAGCACAAAUUUCAGUAAAGGUAGCAUUUCUAGGCAAUUUAAGCUCUGGAUAACAAAAUCAGGUAGCCGUUCCCUCAAAUCUUCUCUAGAAGACAGUAGAUUAGGUGUAAAUGAAUACGACUCCAUCUUUGGAGUCUCCUCAGGUGUCCAUAACUUAGAUAGUACAGUCCUCCUAGAGGUCAGGACACAGGUCCCAGAACUAGUCUGCCCAGGGUGAAUGCCAACCCCACUGCUAAUUAGACAAGUGACCUUGAAAAGGAAAUUAGCAUCCCUGUGCCUUAGUUUCCUCACAUGUGGAGCAGGAAUAAUAAAUGGUACCCGCCUCACA
rnacentral:lncRNA from 1 species